rnacentral:ribozyme from 1 species
CUCUCGCUUUUUCUUUCUAGCUUUCUCUCUUUCUCGCCCCCCCUAUAUAUCUCCUGCUCUCUCUCUUUCUCCUUCUCUGGAAGACAGAAAGAAUAAGUGAGAGCGAGAGAGAGACCGAGCGUCGAAAGAGAGGAAAAAGAAAAUCAGAAAAAUU